rnacentral:rRNA from 1 species
ACGGGUGAGUAACACGUGGGUGAUCUGCCCUGCACUUCGGGAUAAGCCUGGGAAACUGGGUCUAAUACCGGAUAUGACCUCCUAUCGCAUGGUGGGUGGUGGAAAGAUUUAUCGGUGCAGGAUGGGCCCGCGGCCUAUCAGCUUGUUGGUGGGGUAAUGGCCUACCAAGGCGACGACGGGUAGCCGACCUGAGAGGGUGACCGGCCACACUGGGACUGAGACACGGCCCAGACUCCUACGGGAGGCAGCAGUGGGGAAUAUUGCACAAUGGGCGAAAGCCUGAUGCAGCGACGCCGCGUGAGGGAUGACGGCCUUCGGGUUGUAAACCUCUUUCAGCAGGGACGAAGCGCAAGUGACGGUACCUGCAGAAGAAGCACCGGCUAACUACGUGCCAGCAGCCGCGGUAAUACGUAGGGUGCAAGCGUUGUCCGGAAUUACUGGGCGUAAAGAGUUCGUAGGCGGUUUGUCGCGUCGUUUGUGAAAACCAGCAGCUCAACCGCUGGCUUGCAGGCGAUACGGGCAGACUUGAGUACUGCAGGGGAGACUGGAAUUCCUGGUGUAGCGGUGAAAUGCGCAGA